GGAAGGUUGAGCCGAUCAAGGCAGUGACUGCAUACCACGGCUCCUGUCCUGAGGUGAUCGCCGGGCCAUCUUCCCUUCCUACCACACACACACGUCCCAGGUUACAUCAAGGUCAAGCGGCAACUGUGGCCACCAGCGAUGAAGGUUCAUAUUGUGUUGCUGGUGUUGGUGGCGGUGUUGGUGGGGGUGUUGGGCGCCCCGCAGAUCGUCACAGAGAGGAGAGCCUUCCCCGGCCAGAGGCGCCUCGGGGCCACCAACUACCACACAUCCAGCUUCGGUCUGCACGGCUUCGUCGACCGACCUGUGGCCAGACUUCAUGAUUCGAAGCCUCGGAGGACGUUUCCCAAUCAACCCUUUAUUCACGAGCAUCGUGAAUAAAAUCCUGAACUCAGUGAUCGCUACAUCUGUAGUGAGUCAGAUGACAUGUUUAAACGCACUCGCCUCACCUGUAGUGAGUCCAGUAACACGUUAAACGCACUCGCCCCACCUGUAGUGAGUCCAGUAACACGUUUAAACGCACUCGCCCCACCUGUAGUGAGUCCAGUAACACGUUUAAACGCACUCGUCUCACCUGUAGUGAGUCCAGUAACACGUUUAAACGCACUCGCCUCACCUGUAGUGAGUCCAGUAACACGUUAAUCGCACUCGCCUCACCUGUAGUGAGUCCAGUAACACGUUAAUCGCACUCGCCUCACCUGUAGUGAGUCCAGUAACACGUUAAACGCACUCGCCCCACCUGUAGUGAGUCCAGUAACACGUUUAAACGCAGUCUACUGACGCCACUCCUGCUUACAGAUGACUGAAGGGAGCACAGGGUGCAGGCAACAGUGUACAGAUACACCAACUUCAGAAUAAAAUGUACCUGAAGAUGACUUUCGGGUCUGUUUCAGAUUUAAUAAAGUCAUGUUCAGUGAAGUUUACUCUUAACUCGGUGUUUCUCGAUGUGCUUAUAUUUCUUGCUCUUUAUUGUGAUAACAACCUGCAAACAUGGACAAUAUUAUAUAUUUUUUGUUAUAUUCUUGAUGAGUUCUAAUACAUGUUAUUCAAGUUUGUUUGGUAUAUAUUUACUUUUUACUUUCGUGUACCUAUAAAAUAUGUAGGAGUUCCUUAC